CACGGCCCAGACUCCUACGGGAGGCAGCAGUGGGGAAUAUUGCACAAUGGGCGGAAGCCUGAUGCAGCGACGCCGCGUGAGGGAUGACGGCCUUCGGGUUGUAAACCUCUUUCAGCAGGGAAGAAGCGCAAGUGACGGUACCUGCAGAAGAAGCACCGGCUAACUACGUGCCAGCAGCCGCGGUAAUACGUAGGGUGCGAGCGUUGUCCGGAAUUAUUGGGCGUAAAGAGCUCGUAGGCGGCUUGUCGCGUCGGAUGUGAAAGCCCGGGGCUUAACUCCGGGUCUGCAUUCGAUACGGGCAGGCUAGAGUUCGGUAGGGGAGAUCGGAAUUCCUGGUGUAGCGGUGAAAUGCGCAGAUAUCAGGAGGAACACCGGUGGCGAAGGCGGAUCUCUGGGCCGAUACUGACGCUGAGGAGCGAAAGCGUGGGGAGCGAACAGGAUUAGAUACCCUGGUAGUCCACGCCGUAAACGUUGGGAACUAGGUGUGGGCGACAUUCCACGUUGUCCGUGCCGCAGCUAACGCAUUAAGUUCCCCGCCUGGGGAGUACGGCCGCAAGGCUAAAACUCAAAGGAAUUGACGGGGGCCCGCACAAGCGGCGGAGC
rnacentral:rRNA from 1 species